rnacentral:rRNA from 1 species
UAGGGAAUCUUCGGCAAUGGGGGCAACCCUGACCGAGCAACGCCGCGUGAGUGAAGAAGGUUUUCGGAUCGUAAAGCUCUGUUGUAAGAGAAGAACGUGUGUGAGAGUGGAAAGUUCACACAGUGACGGUAACUUACCAGAAAGGGACGGCUAACUACGUGCCAGCAGCCGCGGUAAUACGUAGGUCCCGAGCGUUGUCCGGAUUUAUUGGGCGUAAAGCGAGCGCAGGCGGUUUAAUAAGUCUGAAGUUAAAGGCAGUGGCUUAACCAUUGUUCGCUUUGGAAACUGUUAGACUUGAGUGCAGAAGGGGAGAGUGGAAUUCCAGGUGUAGCGGUGAAAUGCGUAGAUAUAUGGAGGAACACCGGUGGCGAAAGCGGCUCUCUGGUCUGUAACUGACGCUGAGGAUCGAAAGCGUGGGGAGCAAACAGG